GCAAGAGGAGCUGGCAUAGGAGCUGUCAAAAAGAAGUGCUGGAGUACAUCUGUCAAACAGGCUUGUGUUUUAGUGAAGCUGCCCAGAGCAGAGGAGGAUGAAUGUCCUGAAUGGCAUCAAUGCUCUGUCAUGUGCAGGCUGUGAGGCCAGUGGGAGUGAUCCAACGGGGCAGGAAAGAGCCAACAGCUUCAGCACAGAGAAUUCCACCAGUGGAAUUCCACCAGGACAGUCCUGCUCCAGAGGAGCCCAUCAGCACCCAGCCCAUCACCAGUGCUGACAGGGACAGCUCCAGCUCAGGGGGCUCAGCCUGGCCUUCAGACUGCAGAAAUGCACACUCCAUGGCACCUGCAGGCCUCAUCCUCCUCACACCUUCUCUCAGGGUAUCAUCUAGAGAGCAGAAUGCUUGGACUUCUGUUCCACCAGCUCUCCUAAGAGCUGAGGAGGUUUCUACAAGCUGCUUGGCAGUCCCAUCCUCUGGCAUGCCCAAAUUGGAGUUCUCCCACUCCUUUCAUCUGUCACUGGGAAAAAAUGCAGAAGUGACAUGUCUGGGCUCGUAGCAACCGAGCUAACUGGCACAGCACUGAAAAGACCACCGGCAGCUAAACCAUUCACUGCACUCGGCGUUUGUAAACACAAUAAAUGCUGGGGACACUGGG